rnacentral:rRNA from 1 species
CAGCAGUCGGGGAAUAUUGCACAAUGGGGGAAACCCUGAUGCAGCCAUGCCGCGUGUGUGAAGAAGGCCUUCGGGUUGUAAAGCACUUUCAGUAGGGAGGAAGGUAGUGUAGUUAACACCUGCAUUAUUUGACGUUACCUACAGAAGAAGCACCGGCUAACUCCGUGCCAGCAGCCGCGGUAAUACGGAGGGUGCGAGCGUUAAUCGGAAUUACUGGGCGUAAAGCGCAUGCAGGCGGCCUGUUAAGUCAGAUGUGAAAGCCCGGGGCUUAACCUCGGAAUUGCAUUUGAAACUGGCAGGCUAGAGUCUUGUAGAGGGGGGGUAGGAAUUUCAGGUGUAGCGGUGAAAUGCGUAGAGAUCUGAAGGAAUACCAGUGGCGAAGGCGGCCCCCCUCGGACAAAGACUGACGCUCAGAUGCGAAAGCGUGGGGAGCAAACAGGAUUAGAUACCCUGGUAG